GACGAACGCUGGCGGCGCGCCUAAUACAUGCAAGUAGAACGCUGAAGGAGGAGCUUGCUUCUCUGGAUGAGUUGCGAACGGGUGAGUAACGCGUAGGUAACCUGCCUGGUAGCGGGGGAUAACUAUUGGAAACGAUAGCUAAUACCGCAUAAGAGUAGAUGUUGCAUGACAUUUGCUUAAAAGGUGCAAUUGCAUCACUACCAGAUGGACCUGCGUUGUAUUAGCUAGUUGGUGAGGUAACGGCUCACCAAGGCAACGAUACAUAGCCGACCUGAGAGGGUGAUCGGCCACACUGGGACUGAGACACGGCCCAGACUCCUACGGGAGGCAGCAGUAGGGAAUCUUCGGCAAUGGACGGAAGUCUGACCGAGCAACGCCGCGUGAGUGAAGAAGGUUU
rnacentral:rRNA from 1 species